GUACGUAGGGAGCGAGCGUUGUCCGGAUUUACUGGGUGUAAAGGGUGCGUAGGCGGCUCUGCAAGUCAGGUGUGAAAACCAUCGGCUUAACUGAUGGACUGCAUUUGAAACUGUGGGGCUUGAGUGGAGUAGAGGCAGACGGAAUUCCCGGUGUAGCGGUGAAAUGCGUAGAGAUCGGGAAGAACACCAGUGGCGAAGGCGGUUUGCUGGGCUCUAACUGACGCUGAGGCACGAAAGCAUGGGUAGCAAACAGGAUUAGAUACCCUGGUAGUCCAUGCCAUAAACGAUGAUUACUAGGUGUGGGUAGUCUGACCCUCUCCGUGCCGGAGUCAACACAAUAAGUAAUCCACCUGGGAAGUACGACCGCAAGGUUGAA
rnacentral:rRNA from 1 species